CUUGUAGUGUACAGCGACUCUGACAAUAGCGAUAUAAUAAACUUGCAAGCGUAUUUGACCGUGUAUUGAUAUCACAUCCUAUGAAUAUUUCAUCAUCACGCACCUUUAUCGCAGUAACAGACAGGAAGAUUGACAGAAAUAAUGUUUUGUCUUCUUGCAACAAUUAUUAUAUAUUUGCAGCCGUAUUUGCCAAAAUGUAAAAAAAAAGAAAACAUACAGCAAAGAAACAAAAAAAGAGGAAGAGAGAGGUAAAAAGCUGCCCGGCGUAGUUCAUAUAAAAUGUUAAAAAUGUUAAACUGUAUAGUAAAAAUGAAAUGAAUCUGUAAAAACAAGAUAUACUUUUAGCUGGACUUUGAAAUUUUGAUUUCAGGAAACUGCACCAUGAUUCAGCAUUUCACAAAAUAAAAUCAAUCAGCGCUGCAUAUGUUGAUGUAGACAAAGCUUUGGAUUCGGUGGUGGUAGCAUCUCCUGCGGCCGCAUCUGUAGCUCAUCUUUUAGUUGUUCUUGUUUUUUCGAAAGUUUUGGUUCACUUGACUUUUCAACCAUGUUUGCAGCUGCGUCGAGACAUUCUAUCCAGUCCUUUUGAGUUUCACUUAUUUGGUUAAAGAUUGUUCUGGUUAGCUCUUCUUUUGCUGCUUCUGUGAGAAUCUCUUUCAGUAAAUAUUCUCCCUCCUCCAAGAUCACUGUGUCAAAUACAAUUCUUCUGCUACAGCAGCAUUCACAGCAUCUCUUCCAGUCGAACAGUGACAUCAGGGCUGCCAGAAAAAUGAUGCCAAAGAGCAGAACGAAGCCAAUGUUCUGAAAAGGAAUCGUGAAGACAUCAGGCUGAUCGGUCAGAAUAAGAACAAUGUACAACCUGAAAAUAAGACUUUUCUAGAUUACAGCAAACAUACCAGUCUCCAUCCAUGAGCACAGAAACGACCCACAGCAGACCAACACAGCCUGCUUUGAGAAUACGAGUGAGAAGAACUCCACAUAACUCUGUCCUACAGCAUUUAGUCUGC
ensembl:lncRNA